UGAACCUUGGGUUAAAGAUUUGUUCAGGUAGAGAAUGAUCGAAUAAUUGCCGCAUAUAGAGCUAUAACAAGUAUGAGUAGGGCGAGCCUGAAAUCCGAGAGAUGGGAUGUCUUUGACUCCCAGACGUCCUGGGCCGUGGUCUCUACUCCGCGUGCUUUCCCAAGAGGAAACCGUAGUUGGAACACCUUGACCAGCCCUCUCUCCAAACCAGGAUGUAAUAACAAGCUCCCGCACAGCUUGAAGAGAAUGAAGAAGGGCAGGCAUACUCAGACAGCGCAUACAUUCAAGGUUUUGGCUUGCUGGAGGCUCCACAGUUCUUCCUGGGAGAACUGGCACUCAUUGGAGGACCACAUCUCCAGUUCAUCCAGGAGAGCCUAGUGAUGUGAACCAGGUUAAAGCCUGCAAUGAGUUGCCAUAGAGUUCAAACAGCACUUUACUGUCUGAGACACCUGAAAGCCUCUUGCUCAAAAAUGUUUAUUUAUCCCACUGCUUAACAAAAUCUUUUUGCAGCCA